UGGGGAAUAUUGCACAAUGGGCGCAAGCCUGAUGCAGCCAUGCCGCGUGUAUGAAGAAGGCCUUCGGGUUGUAAAGUACUUUCAGCGAGGAGGAAGGCGUUGUGGUUAAUAACCGCAGCGAUUGACGUUACUCGCAGAAGAAGCACCGGCUACCUCCGUGCCAGCAGCCGCGGUAAUACGGAGGGUGCAAGCGUUAAUCGGAAUUACUGGGUGUAAAGCGCACGCAGGCGGUCUGUCAAGUCGGAUGUGAAAUCCCCGGGCUCAACCUGGGAAGUGCAUCCGAAACUGGCAGGCUGGAGUCUUGUAGAGGGGGGUAGAAUUCCAGGUGUAGCGGUGAAAUGCGUAGAGAUCUGGAGGAAUACCGGUGGCGAAGGCGGCCCCCUGGACAAAGACUGACGCUCAGGUGCGAAAGCGUGGGGAGCAAACA
rnacentral:rRNA from 1 species